rnacentral:lncRNA from 1 species
CUUCCUAUCUGUCUGCAAAUAUAGGUUGAUUUAAGGAGACCCAGUAACUAAUCAUAAUUACAGAACAGUUAUUGUAAUUAGGGAGAAAUACUCACAUUUCAUAAUAAACUUUUUGGUUUUUCAAAAGGAUCUCUAUCAAGUUCCUUUAAUUAUCUUUGCUCCCAGACCAUGUGAUUUGUUUCAUAAAAAUCCAAACUCAAAGGAACAUGUAUGUUGUGUGAGGCAGAGUGGUUAUGGGAGCCUAAAGGUAAGUAGGGCAGAAUGGGGUCAUCCCCUGAUGACUAAGCAAAGCCUUGACGAGGUGAACUGACCUGGAGACAAUCCAUCUGAAACCCUUCAUUUGAAAACUCCCUUGGAUAUGAAAAAAAAAUCAAGAUGAGAAAGGGAAAAAAACACUUUUUUUGGGUCAAAAUAUUGUGAUACACUAGCAUAUGUCCUGGCUAGUUUCUUUCCUGAUAAAAGGCUUGUUUAUUGUCAUGUAAACACAAGCUGUGUGCAAGGAUCAAAACAUUUUAAAACAUUAAAAAUAAUUUAUGAAAACAUUCUUCCUUGAUUUCAAUUUGCUGAUUCAAAUAUAUCUAGGAUGAAAGACUCUUAUAUAGAUAUAUGAUCAACAAAGAUGUCAGGGAGAUCCAGGAAAAUAUAAUAUCCAUACAGUAAUAUAAAUACAGUGUUGUUCAUCUGUAUCCUUAGCACUCAGCCUGUCACUUAUUAAGUCAUUAAAUGUCGAUUUCUUAAAUAAUAAAAAAAGAAUUCAAAGAAA